rnacentral:rRNA from 1 species
GACGAACGCUGGCGGCGUGCCUAAUACAUGCAAGUAGAAGAUAGUUGCGAACGGGUGAGUAACGCGUAGGAACCUGCCUCAUAGCGGGGGAUAACUAUUGGAAACGAUAGCUAAUACCGCAUACUGUGAGAUGGACCUGUGUUGGAUUAGCUAGUUGGUUGGGUAAAGGCCUACCAAGGCUACGAUCCGUACCUGGUCUGAGAGGAUGACCACUCAAACUGGAACUGAGACACGUUCCAGACUCCUACGGGAGGCAGCAGUGGGGAAUAUUGGACAAUGGGCUAAAGCCUGAUCCAGCCAUGCCGCGUGUGUGAAGAAGGUCUUCGGAUUGUAAAGCACUUUAAGUUGGGAGGCGUUACCAACAGAAUAAGCACCGGCUAACUUCGUGCCAGCAGCCGCGGUAAUUC